rnacentral:miRNA from 1 species
GCCACAGCAGGUGCUUACAUUGCCUCCCAGGCGGUGAAGAAAGUGAUAGAGAUCAACCCCUACCGUCUGGACACUAUGGGUGGGGGUGCAGCCGACUGCAGCUUCUGGG